rnacentral:rRNA from 1 species
UACGUAGGGUGCGAGCGUUAAUCGGAAUUACUGGGCGUAAAGCGUGCGCAGGCGGUCCGCAAAGUCUGAUGUGAAAGCCCCGGGCUCAACCUGGGAACUGCAUUGGAAACUAACGGGCUAGAGUGUGGCAGAGGGGGGUGGAAUUCCACGUGUAGCAGUGAAAUGCGUAGAGAUGUGGAGGAACACCGAUGGCGAAGGCAGCCCCCUGGGAUAACACUGACGCUCAGGCACGAAAGCGUGGGGAGCGAACAGG